GCAGAGUGUACUGUAGAAUGCCAUAG
rnacentral:piRNA from 1 species